rnacentral:rRNA from 1 species
CACGUAGGCGGUGAAUCGGGUUGAAAGUGAAAGUCGCCAAAAAGUGGUGGAAUGCUCUCGAAACCAAUUCACUUGAGUGAGACAGAGGAGAGUGGAAUUUCGUGUGUAGGGGUGAAAUCCGAAGAUCUACGAAGGAAGGCCAAAAAGCGAAGGCAGCUCUCUGGGUCCCUACCGACGCUGGAGUGCGAAAGCAUGGGGAGCGAACG